GACGAACGCUGGCGGCGUGCUUAACACAUGCAAGUCGUACGGUAAGGCCCUUUCGGGGGUACACGAGUGGCGAACGGGUGAGUAACACGUGAGUAACCUGCCCACAACUUUGGGAUAACGCUAGGAAACUGGUGCUAAUACUGGAUAUGUGCUCCUGCUGCAUGGUGGGGGUUGGAAAGCUCCGGCGGUUGUGGAUGGACUCGCGGCCUAUCAGCUUGUUGGUGGGGUAGUGGCCUACCAAGGCGGCGACGGGUAGCCGGCCUGAGAGGGUGACCGGCCACAUUGGGACUGAGAGACGGCCCAGACGCCUACGGGAGGCAGCAGUGGGAAAUAUUGCACAAUGGGCGCAAGCCUGAUGCAGCAACGCCGCGUGCGGGAUGACGGCCUUCGGGUUGUAAACCGCUUUCAGCAGGGACGAAGCUUUUUGUGACGGUACCUGCAGAAGAAGCACCGGCUAACUACGUG
rnacentral:rRNA from 1 species